CAGGGACUGGUGCUUGUCCAUGGGAUUGGUCUCAAGUUGGGCCAGUUAUUGGUCGGCCAUUCCCUUUGUCUCUGCUCCAUCUUUGUCCCUGCAUUUCUUGACAGGACAAACUUCGGGUCAAAGUUUUGUGGAUGGGUUGGUGCCCAUCUACUGGGUCCUGCCAGGCUGGUACCAUAAAGGAGCAGACUCAAAUAAAGAAAAUCCACGCUCCGGUAUUCCAGCUGGCACCUGAGGCCGGCCGGCUGGAUGCAGCCCUGAGCAUCUGUGUCCCGUUGCCUUAUAGCCUCCUCCCAGCACAGGUGUGUUAACCCAGCGUUAGGACUAGGCUUUGGUCUCAGCUUCCUGCUUAAUCAGCCUUGCCCAGAACCUGGCCUGGUUGGCUGCCAAACUCUCCCCCAUGCCUGCUCCUCCUCCUUACUCAUUGUUCCUGGAACUUCAGUGUUGCCUCUUACACUCUGAGAG
rnacentral:lncRNA from 1 species